UGUAUAACUGUAGGAACAGACUGGACAGUGAAAGUGAAUCCCGCCUGGACUUAACAGACCCCUAUACCUAGAAUGACCCAAAAAUUUGACUAUUGAUCUUGUCACAGGUCAGUCCAUGAGCCCACGUCUUCAGGCCAGGGACCCGAGAGGAAUUUCCAGUGACAUGGAUCAACAGAGAUCCUCAAACAGUCAGUCCAUGUGCCACGUUCCAGCCAGGGACCAAAAGGGGGGCUUUUGUCAUGGGGCCAGACAGACAUCCUCAAGCAAGAAAUAGAGAGAUGCAUCCAGGCCACCCACUAGGAGGUGGAACAUCUUACGAAGAGGUGGCUGUACCUGGCGGCAGACUGAGAUGGGGUGAGGAAGAGGAGAAGCACAGACCAUGAACGGAAUGUCAGAUAUUUGCCCUUUUUAUGCCCAGCGCACACACACACACCGGCAUAUAAACAUGCACAUAGACACAGGCGCACGUGCACACACAUACACGCACUCUCAAACAAGAUGGGAGUCUCUGGUGAUGUUGGCAAAUAAUCUGAAUCGGUACACACUGCAAUGAUUCCACCAUCAUGCCCCACCUACGCGAGUCCUGUCCUUCAGCAUUGACUUACUCCCCAGGUGUGGUGUGCCUUCAUCCGAACCACAAUGGCAUCCCAAGCAGCAACAAACACCUGCACACAUGCAUGCUACAGUACACACACAAACACACUGGACUGUGAACUAGGUCAGACACACACACACACACGCUCAAAGUAGCCAAGAUCGAAAAGGCUGCAUCGGUGGCUUGACUUCAUCCAUUUUUUGGAGGAACACCUUUGUCAAUUUUGAGGAACUUUGUUGUGGGAAGA